GAUGAACGCUGGCGGCGUGCUUAACACAUGCAAGUCGAACGAUGAAGCCCAGCUUGCUGGGUGGAUUAGUGGCGAACGGGUGAGUAACACGUGAGUAACCUGCCCUUGACUCUGGGAUAAGCCUGGGAAACUGGGUCUAAUACUGGAUAUGACUUCUCAUCGCAUGGUGGGGGGUGGAAAGAUUUAUUGGUCUUGGAUGGACUCGCGGCCUAUCAGCUUGUUGGUGAGGUAAUGGCUCACCAAGGCGAUGACGGGUAGCCGGCCUGAGAGGGUGACCGGCCACACUGGGACUGAGAUACGGCCCAGACUCCUACGGGAGGCAGCAGUGGGGAAUAUUGCACAAUGGGCGCAAGCCUGAUGCAGCGACGCCCCGUUAGGAAUGACGUCCUUCGGGUUGUAAACCUCUUUCAGUAGUGAAGAAGCGAGAGUGACGGUACCUGCAGAAGAAGCGCCGGCUAACUACGUG
rnacentral:rRNA from 1 species